GCCGCUCGCGCGUUCGCCGCCGCGACCGCCUCCGACGUAAAACGAAUGGCUUCUUGUCCUCGGCGCCGCGUUGGUUGGAGAUGGAGGGGACAUGGAGCCCUCGGCGGUGCACUCCAGCGCCUCCUGCAGGCGAGUCAAGAACUCUUGGUGGUGAACUUACGGUCAAUCUGAUCAGCAAACACCUCCCCAUAGAUCAUCCAGUACGGCAUGAAGAAGAUAUUCCGUGCGAGCAUCCACGAGGGGUCUUCAUUGGGGUUGAGGAUGGCCUGUCGCGCGACCCCAAAGCUCAUGAGCACCACCAACAUGAUGAUCACAAAGUACAUCAUGUCGAUCAUCUGACAGAAGGGGCGAAGAGGACAGUUAAAAGAGAAGGGAAGAAUGAAAAGAAACAAUUCGGACCAAAGCGCUCACAACGGAGCACACAUCUGAAACAGUUUGACCAAGGGUUGCCUUCUUUAGCACUUCAUGCUUCUCAUUUGUCUCGGAGUCUCGAGUGAUCAAUCAAACUACAAGUUAAUGACCACAGAUGUUAAACCUUUACUUAAUAGUCGUUCAGAUGUUCCAUCGCUCCUGAAGCGAAGAAGGAAAUUACCAUAACUUCCUUCAGAACAAUUAGGAAAACCCAAACAAUCUCAAUGCUCUUAAGACUGAAAAGUACAUUCAUUUGUCAGAAUUAGCAACCACGAUUCACAUACAGCACAGCAGGGGGACCGGUGACUAUUUUCAAUUUUCCAGAGGUGUAAUGUCCCGCCUCUUGCUCACAGGCUCACCGAUAGCUCCAGUAAACGAUAAGAGCUAUCAAAAAUCAAAUGAAUGAUAGAUGCCCUUGGGUCAUACUAAUCCCCCCGCCCCCUCCCUAUCUAAACUCACA